GCUCAGGAUGAACGCUGGCGGUAUGCUUAACACAUGCAAGUCGAACGGAAUCUUUAGGGAUUUAGUGGCGGACGGGUGAGUAACGCGUAAGAAUCUACCUUCAGGUCGGGGACAACCACUGGAAACGGUGGCUAAUACCGGAUGUGCCGAGAGGUGAAAGGCUUGCUGCCUGAAGAAGAGCUUGCGUCUGAUUAGCUAGUUGGUAGUGUAAUGGACUACCAAGGCGACGAUCAGUAGCUGGUCUGAGAGGAUGAUCAGCCACACUGGGACUGAGACACGGCCCAGACUCCUACGGGAGGCAGCAGUGGGGAAUUUUCCGCAAUGGGCGAAAGCCUGACGGAGCAAUACCGCGUGAGGGAGGAAGGCUCUUGGGUUGUAAACCUCUUUUCUCAGGGAAGAAAAAAAUGACGGUACCUGAGGAAUAAGCAUCGGCUAACUCCGUGCCAGCAGCCGCGGUAAUACGGAGGAUGCAAGCGUUAUCCGGAAUGAUUGGGCGUAAAGGGUCCGCAGGUGGCAUUGUAAGUCUGCUGUUAAAGAGUCUAGCUCAACUAGAUAAAAGCAGUGGAAACUACAAAGCUAGAGUAUGGUCGGGGCAGAAGGAAUUCCUGGUGUAGCGGUGAAAUGCGUAGAUAUCAGGAAGAACACCGGUGGCGAAGGCGUUCUGCUAGGCCAAAACUGACACUGAGGGACGAAAGCUAGGGGAGCGAAUGGGAUUAGAUACCCCAGUAGUCCUAGCCGUAAACGAUGGAUACUAGGCGUAGCUCGUAUCGACCCGAGCUGUGCCGUAGCUAACGCGUUAAGUAUCCCGCCUGGGGAGUACGCAGGCAACUG
rnacentral:rRNA from 1 species